UCAGCAGCCGCGGUAAUACGUAGGGGGCAAGCGUUGUCCGGAAUCACUGGGCGUAAAGCGCGUGUAGGCGGCCAGGUAAGUCAGAGGUGAAAACCGGCGGCUCAACCGCAGGCUUGCCUUUGAAACUACUUGGCUUGAGGUCAGAAGAGGAGAGUGGAAUUCCCAGUGUAGCGGUGAAAUGCGUAGAUAUUGGGAGGAACACCAGUGGCGAAGGCGGCUCUCUGGUCUGCACCUGACGCUGAGGCGCGAAAGCGUGGGUAGCAAACAGGAUUAGAUACCCUGGUAGUCCACGCCGUAAACGAUGGGUGCUAGGUGUUGGGGGUAUGAACCCCUCAGUGCCGUCUGAACGCGAUAAGCACCCGCCUGGGAAGUACGGUC
rnacentral:rRNA from 1 species